GCUGGCGGCGUGCCUAACACAUGCAAGUCGCACGAGAAAGUGGAGCAAUCCAUGAGUAAAGUGGCGAACGGGUGAGUAACACGUGACUACCUGCCCUCGAGUGGGGAAUAACCUCGGGAAACCGGGGCUAAUACCGCAUAACAUCGAGAGAUCAAAGCAGCAAUGCGCUUGAGGAGGGGGUCGCGUCUGAUUAGCUAGUUGGUAGGGUAACGGCCUACCAAGGCGAUGAUCAGUAGCCGGCCUGAGAGGGCGCACGGCCACACUGGAACUGAAACACGGUCCAGACUCCUACGGGAGGCAGCAGUGGGGAAUUUUGCGCAAUGGGGGAAACCCUGACGCAGCAACGCCGCGUGGAGGAUGAAGUCCCUUGGGACGUAAACUCCUUUCGAUCGGGACGAUUAUGACGGUACCGGAAGAAGAAGCCCCGGCUAACUUCGUGCCAGCAGCCGCGGUAAUACGAGGGGGGCAAGCGUUGUUCGGAAUUAUUGGGCGUAAAGGGCGCGUANGCGGUGCGGUAAGUCUGAUGUGAAAUCUCCGGGCUCAACUCGGAGUCUGCAUCANAAACUGCCGUGCUGGAGUGUG
rnacentral:rRNA from 1 species